GGAGGUGUGGCAGAGCGGUUAAUUGCGCCGGUCUUGAAAACCGGUAGGCCCGAAAGGGUCUCGGGGGUUCGAAUCCCUCCGCCUCCG
rnacentral:tRNA from 1 species